rnacentral:rRNA from 1 species
UACGUAGGGGGGCAAGCGUUGUCCGGAAUCAUUGGGCGUAAAGAGCGUGUAGGCGGCUUGGUAAGUCCGCUGUGAAAGUCCAGGGCUCAACCCUGGAAAGCCGGUGGAAACUGUCAAGCUUGAGUCCGGAAGAGGCGAGUGGAAUUCCUGGUGUAGCGGUGAAAUGCGUAGAUAUCGGGAGGAACACCAGUGGCGAAGGCGAUCACCUGGGGUUGUUCUGACGCUGAGGAGCGAAAGCUAGGGGAGCAAACGGG